GAUGAACGCUGGCGGCGUGCCUAAUACAUGCAAGUCGAGCGAACAGAUGAGGAGCUUGCUCCUCUGACGUUAGCGGCGGACGGGUGAGUAACACGUGGAUAACCUACCUAUAAGACUGGAUAACUUCGGGAAACCGGAGCUAAUACCGGAUAAUAUAUUGAACCGCAUGGUUCAAUAGUGAAAGACGGUUUUGCUGUCUCUUAUAGAUGGAUCCGCGCCGCAUUAGCUAGUUGGUAAGGUAACGGCUUACCAAGGCAACGAUGGGUAGCCGACCUGAGAGGGAGAACGGCCACACUGGAACUGAGACACGGUCCAGACUCCUACGGGAGGCAGCAGUAGGGAAUCUUCCGCAAUGGGCGAGAGCCUGACGGAGCAACGCCGCGUGAGUGAUGAAGGUCUUCGGAUCGUAAAACUCUGUUAUUAGGGAAGAACAAAUGUGUAAGUAACUAUGCACGUCUUGACGGUACCUAAUCAGAAAGCCACGGCUAACUACGUG
rnacentral:rRNA from 1 species